rnacentral:rRNA from 1 species
CAUAACUCGGGAAACUGGGUAUAAUACCCGAUAGGUCUCGAUUGCUGGAAUGCAUCGAGAUUUAAAGCUCCGGCGCCUAAGGAUGGGUCUGCGGCCUAUCAGGUAGUAGUGGGUGUAGCGUACCUACUAGCCUACGACGGGUACGGGUUGUGAGAGCAAGAGCCCGGAGAUGGAUUCUGAGACACGAAUCCAGGCCCUACGGGGUGCAGCAGGCGCGAAAACUUUACAAUGCUGGCAACAGCGAUAAGGGAACCUCGAGUGCCAGGUUACAAAUCUGGCUGUCGAGAUGCCUAAAAAGCAUUUCAUAGCAAGGGCCGGGCAAGACCGGUGCCAGCCGCCGCGGUAACACCGGCGGCUCGAGUGGUAACCGUUAUUAUUGGGUCUAAAGGGUCUGUAGCCGGCCGGAUAAGUCUCUUGAGAAAUCUGGCAGCUUAACUGUCAGGCUUUCAGGAGAUACUGUCUGGCUCGAGGCCGGGAGAGGUGAGAGGUACUUCAGGGGUAGGGGUGAAAUCUUGUAAUCCUUGAAGGACCACCAGUGGCGAAGGCGUCUCACCAGAACGGACCUGACGGCAAGGGACGAAAGCUAGGGGCACGAACCGGAUUAGAUACCCGGAUAGUCCUAGCCGUAAACGAUACUCGCUAGGUGUCGGCCACGGUGCGACCGCUGUCGGUGCCGUACGGAAGCCGUGAAGCGAGCCACCUGGGAAGUACGGCCGCAAGGCUGAAACUUAAAGGAAUUGGCGGGGGAGCACCACAACGGGUGGAGCGUGCGGUUUAAUUGGAUUCAACGCCGGACAUCUCACCGGGACCGACAGCAAUAUGAAUGCCAGGCUGAAGACUUUGCCUGAUUAGCUGAGAGGUGAGUGCAU